GUUUCCAUAGUUAAAUUUUAUAACAACGGCUUUUCAGGCCGUUGUUCCUGGAGAGAGACCGGGUGGAAACU
rnacentral:tRNA from 1 species